CAACUUAUCCUCGAACAAAUUGGUAAAUCCACAACUGACUAAGAGGAUGAAUCAAAUUCCUGCAACCAGCAGUUAUGUUUCUCAUCGUUUGCCGGUUCUUAAUAAAAUUCUUCAACUUGUGUCCAUCCAGAGGGCCGGCUCACAAGAUAAGGAAUUGGAGUUGCUUUUUGCUGGGUUGCAUCUGUGAUUGAUUUACCAGUGCUAUGGUGAGUUGGCUUGAAAUUUGUUUGUUGGAAUUUGGUUUUGUUUGUAUUUGCCUCUUCUUUUUCUUGAGUUGAUGAAAUGGGUAUGAUGGAAGGUUUAGCUAUCUUGAAGAUUUGAAAUGUGAUGUAUAUUCGGUUUUGGUUAUCGUUGAACUCAACUAGCUUCUUUGCAACAAUGUUUUGGAGUGAGCUAAAAAAUUUCCUGUCUUCCCCUCUGUGGUCUGAUUUUGAGUCAUUUUUCUUUUUGCAUUAUCUCAUGCAUUUCUGUGUAACUUUUUUCAUCAUUGUGGAGGUUGCCGUUAGCAGCCCGGGUCCUCGCCACAGUGAUUGAAGUUUUUCUGGUUCUAUUUUCAUGUGGGAUAUUGGUUGGUGUUAUAUAAGUGUCAUCUUUGCAUAUCAUAUUUUAGUUAUGAAGAAAAAUUCUUUUAUGAUAUGUAGCCCUUUUGUACUGCUUAUUAUCUCAUAGCCCAGGGCUUAAGAGACGAAGAUCCCCUAUUUCUGUGUUUCAAGACUACAUUACCAUAUCACUUGUUAGGGCUUAGGAGAGCCUGUAAACUUCAGUAAGCAUUCUAGAUUACAAGAGGCAUUGCCCUUUUCUGCUCAAUUUUUAUCUUCAAUUUUUGUUCUUUUCUUCUUGCAUGUCAUAAAUGUGUACGAAGUGAAUGUUUCUAAUUGCCAAUGGAUGCUUUGCUUUCUCAUUUGUGAUCAUUUCAUAAGUAAUUCAUUUGUGUACCUUUCCUUAAUGAUUACAGGCUAUCACCAGGGCCUAAACAAACACAAAAGACCAAGGGCCAAAUAUUUCAUGAUAAAGUUAAAUCCUCAGAUUGCAUCCCCGAGGCAUGAUGGAUGUGGUUUGCCCUUGUAUGCUGUGCAGAAACAAAUGCGUCUCUGGUAGGCUGAAAUUUAAAUCUUGUGAACAUCUUCUGAAGCUGUUUUCUUUUCAUCAGAGUGCUCUGUAUCUUUUGUUUGACUAGGGCGUCUUUUUCCCCCGUCGUGUUAACUGACUGCCUGUGGGAUUCCGAUAACUAGAGAUGCAUGAGUCCGUCAGUCAUGAACUUAGCUUCUGUUUUCUCUCUUUCUUUCCUUCUUUCAUUUUCUUUUCUCUGGUGGGGGAAUCGGUUCUGUCAAAUUGUCAAUUCACGUGUUACGAAGUUGCAGUUUUGUCUACGAUAGAUGGAUUACUGAUUGGUGGCGAUAACUGAUAUAUUUUAGCCCUAGUGAUCUAUCAGCAUAUAUGUUUGAUUAACGCACUCCUCAGGGAAGUAUGUGCAAUUGACAUGUUAUUCAAUCGAAAAACAGAUGGAAUAUAAUUGAAGGGGUGUCUGUCUAGCUCAGUGAUUGAAUAAAGAAAAAGAGAAAAUUUCAGUAGGAGGUCGCAAUCAAGAUGAACCAGAGCACAAAUGCCUUCCAUUGAGGCUAGAAUCUUUAUAUU